UAAAAAGGAAACGUAGUUGUUGG
rnacentral:piRNA from 1 species